CACGUACUGUGCGAACGUUAUUCGGAAUCACUGGGCUUAAAGGGUGCGUAGGCGGCGAUUCAAGUCAGAUGUGAAAUGCCUGAGCUCAACUGAGGCAUUGCGUUUGAAACUGAAUUGCUAGAGUAUCCUAGGGGUGUGCGGAACUGCCAGUGGAACGGUGAAAUGUGUUGAUAUUGGCAGGAACACCGGAGGCGAAAGCGGCACACUGGGGGAUAACUGACGCUGAGGUGCGAAAGCGUGGGGAGCAAACAGG
rnacentral:rRNA from 1 species